GUCGUUUUAUAAGGGGGCGAUUUGGGCCCGACGUCGCAUGCUCCCGGCCGCCAUGGCGGCCGCGGGAAUUCGAUUUCUGGUUGAUCCUGCCAGAGGCCGCUGCUAUCCGGCUGGGACUAAGCCAUGCGAGUCAAGGGGCUUGUAUCCCUUCGGGGAUGCAAGCACCGGCGGACGGCUCAGUAACACGUAGACAACCUGCCCUCGGGUGGGGGAUAACCCCGGGAAACUGGGGCUAAUCCCCCAUAGGUGAUGGGUGCUGGAAUGCCCCAUCACCGAAAGCGCUCAGCGCCCGAGGAUGGGUCUGCGGCGGAUUAGGUAGUUGGCGGGGUAACGGCCCGCCAAGCCGAAGAUCCGUACGGGCCAUGAGAGUGGGAGCCCGGAGAUGGACCCUGAGACACGGGUCCAGGCCCUACGGGGCGCAGCAGGCGCGAAACCUCCGCAAUGCGGGAAACCGCGACGGGGCUAGCCGGAGUGCCGAUGCCUCGCAUCGGCUGUCGGGGAGCCUAAAAAGCUCCCCACAGCAAGGGCCGGGCAAGGCCGGUGGCAGCCGCCGCGGUAAUACCGGCGGCCCGAGUGGCGGCCACUAUUAUUGGGCCUAAAGCGUCCGUAGCCGGUCUGGCAAGUCCCCCGGGAAAUCUGGCGGCUUAACCGUCAGGCUGCCGGGGGAUACUGCCAGACUAGGGACCGGGAGAGGCCGGGGGUAUUCCCGGGGUAGGGGUGAAAUCCCGUAAUCCCGGGAGGACCACCUGUGGCGAAGGCGCCCGGCUGGAACGGGUCCGACGGUGAGGGACGAAGGCCUGGGGAGCGAACCGGAUUAGAUACCCGGGUAGUCCAGGCUGUAAACGAUGCGGGCUAGGUGUCGCGACAGCCACGAGCUGUCGCGGUGCCGGAGGGAAGCCGUUAAGCCUGCCGCCUGGGAAGUGCGGCCCGCAAGGCUGAAACUUAAAGGAAUUGGCGGGGGAGCCACUACCAACGGGUGGAGCCUGCGGUUUUAAUUUGGAUUCAAACGCCCGGGAAGCCUUUACCCGGGGGAGACAGCCGGGAUGAAGGUUCCGGGACUGAAGACCUCCCUACCUCAGUACCUAGCCUGGAGUAGGAUGGGUGGUCCAAUUGGUCCGGACCUGCGUCUCCUAGGUUUUGUCG
rnacentral:rRNA from 3 species